AUUGAACGCUGGCGGCAGGCCUAACACAUGCAAGUCGAACGAGUGGCGGACGGGUGAGUAAUGUCUGGGAAACUGCCCGAUGGCGGGGGAUAACUACUGGAAACGGUAGCUAAUACCGCAUACCAUCCGAUUUGCCCAGAUGGGAUUAGCUAGUAGGUGGGGUAACGGCUCACCUAGGCCACGAUCCCUAGCUGGUCUGCGAGGGUGACCAGCCACAAGGGAAAGGAGACACGGUCCAGACUCCUACGGGAGGCAGCAGUGGGGAAUAUUGCACAAUGGGCGCAAGCCUGAUGCAGCCAUGCCGCGUGUAUGAAGAAGGCCUUCGGGUUGUAAAGUACUUUCAGCGAGGAGGCGUUACUCGAAGAAGAAGCAACGGCUAACUCCGUGCCAGCAGCCGCGGUAAUAC
rnacentral:rRNA from 1 species